UGAGCUCCAUCUGUAAUCAAUCCCACCGCCUCCCACCGGCCCGUCCAGCUCCCAACGGCUCCGGCUGCUUCACCCGAGGCUGUGGUCGUGAGAACGGGAUGCGGUGUCGUGCAACGCGGCGACAUUGCAGUAAACGGAGUCUCUCUUGCGUCCGGCGAGCCUCACAUCGGAGAGUCGUCUCGAGCCGUUGGAUGAGAGCAUAACCCGCAGCGUCGGAACAGCGUCCGGCGGUUGAUCGAGGCUUCCUCCUCCUCCUCCUCCUCCUCCUCCUUCAUCUUCCUCCUCUACUCGGAGAUGCUGUCCAGCCUGCGCAGAGCCCUGCGGCCCGCUCUGUCCUACGGAGCGUACUCGGGGCUGAGAUGCAGCCGCGUCGCGUCCCCCGCAGCCUCCCCGGGCCCGGUGGGGGUCGACGUGCCCCUGGGCUCCGUAGCACCUGCCCUGUUCGUGCAGAGGUGUAGCCUGGGCACACACCCUCUGAAUGAGCCGAUGGAGCCGCUCAGUUCGCCGAGCGGAGCGAAAGAGUUUAUUUAUAGCCUCCACCCGUCUGAGCGCACCUGUCUGCUGCGGGAACUCCACCGGUUCGAGUCCAUAGCCAUAGCGCAAGGGCAGCUGCACGUGGACCCGCCAACAACGGCACAGUUGAGAUACGUUCUGCUGCACAAUGCAAUCCCUUUCAUUGGAUUUGGAUUCCUGGACAACGCCAUCAUGAUCGUUGCAGGCACACAGAUUGAGCUGUCCAUAGGAGUGAUCCUUGGCAUUUCAACCAUGGCAGCUGCUGCUUUGGGCAACCUGGUGUCUGACUUGGCAGGACUAGGGCUGGCAGGCUAUGUGGAGGCCUUGGCAUGUCGUCUGGGGAUGCAGAUUCCUGACCUCAGCCCAAAGCAGGUUGAUAUGUGGCAGACCAGAGUCAGCUCCCACACAGGUAAAGCUAUUGGCGUGGGCAUAGGCUGUAUCCUUGGCAUGUUUCCCCUUCUUUUCUUCAAAGACGACGAGGAUAAAAAGGAAGGCAAGAAAGAGGGAAAGGAGGAACCAAAAACACCUGCUGCGACAGAGACAAACAAAAACUGACGACCGAGCCGAGGACAAAUACUAUUUGAAAUCCAUGAGAAUGGUUUCAUCUGGGAUUGACUGGAGGUGUGGAUUUUACAGAGAUGUAGCUGGAGUGUGUAGUCUAAGCACUGGCACUUACAGCUAGGUUCAAGCAAUUAAUCAAAGACAGGAGGACAAUCAACCUUUGGACUGCUGCUGCUGCCCCCCUGGUCAACUGUCACACCCAACUUCACACUGUCUUUUAAUGACUGACAGGCUGAAAAUCAGCCAUUGAAAAUCACACUCCUUUUCUUGGUCUUGGUCUCUCAUCUGCUAUGAAGCUGUUGAAGUUGACAGAUAUGAGUCCUCUCACUCUACAGCAAGGGACAAAGGUGGGGAAGUUACUAAUGGGGGGGGGUGUCUAAGUAAACCUGGUUAUUCAAAAGGCAAACUCGGUGUGCUAUCAGAACCAUUUGUAAAGCCCCAAUCCUGAGAAAAUACACUAUUUGAGCUAAGAUGCAGAAUAUUUUGCAUGGCAUCUUAGACUUGAAAAUGUUGUUUCAGGCUCUGCAAGAGCUUUUUAAAAACCUUGAUGACAGUCAUGACAAGGUAGUUCAGAGGAAUAUAUGAAUAGCCCUGCCAGUAUAGCACAUUGCUUUGGCCUUGGCUCAGGCUCGUUUCAGACCACGCUGGGGUGUUUCCAUCUCUCUGGCGUCUCCUGAUCACUUCGAAGGCGAGCGGUCACAGGAAAGUACUGACUCUUACAUAUUGAAAUGCACCCCUCUGUGUCAACUCAUUUACAAAGCACUACGAUGUUACACGCAUGUCUACCUUUUGAUGAUGCCAAAGUUGUACAUUUUACCCAGCUGCCUCCUUGAGUUAUUCUGACAACCAGAGAGCUGUCACCAGUGAGACCACAAGUAGACAACUCUUUAAAAUCCAUUACUCGCUUCUUUGGCUCUUAAUGUUUUCUUAGGCAGUGAAGAGGAGUGUUUUCGGGUGAGGCUAGGCUGCUCUGUCUUACACUUGUUAACAGCUGCUGUUUGAUGCAAAGCCAUGGGAAUUAUGUACAACCAGUAAGACUUUAAAACACAAAUGUCUCAUAUGUGAAAUGAAAUGUUUGCUAGUCAAACAAAAGGGAAUUCUCUCUGUGAUAAAGGAGGGCUAUAUUGCCUUAGAAGGUUGCUUGCAGGGCUGCUUAUAAUCCAUAAAAUAUAAAAAUGUUUUUUUUUUCAUUUUUUUUUUCAGGAAGUGCAACUCUGCUGAAACGAGAAAUGGGCUGUCAGCUACUUCUUAUGAAACAAAUGAGAGGAGGAGAGGGAGAGAGAGACUGGGAGAGAGGGGGAUAAAGAGGAGGAGAGAGAGAGACUGGGAGAGAGAGAAGAGAGACUGGGGGAGAGAGGAAGAGAAAGAGGAGGAGACAGAGCAACUUUGAAAAACAUGAGCACGCAGGUAUAGCAGAAAGAUAAGAAAUUCUUAAACAUUGCUGACUGGAAUGAUCUACCCCUCAGUACAUGUUUUAAUGAUGGUACUGUCUCCUCUGUGCACAAAUCCACAUUUCAAACUUCCUCUGGCCCUGCAUCACUCUAGUGAAGCUGAAACAUGAAACGGCUCCCGUAUGGUAGUUUUUAAUGACACAGCAGCAAGCCUCUGUAGGGCGAAACAGGACUGACCCAGGCUUAUGUGCUAUUUAUGUUACUCCGUGUUGGGUGAAAACAAUACUUUAGUGAUGUGUACUCGGCACCUUGUUGUCUGCUUGGUGCCCUUUUGCCAUGUUGUGGGAAAGUGACUGCUCCUGGCAACUGUAACCCAGCUCCAUUUUGGUUUCUCCCAUUUGAAAAUGCAUUACCCCUGCUAUACUGCCAUCCACUGGUUAAAUCUAUGUCAGAGGAGGUUGUCAGUGUCAGGAAAUUUAAAAAAAACACCCAACAAAUACAAGCACAGCAUGGUAGAAGUGCAUAUUACUUACAGUAUUUCUGCUUAGGAUUUUCUUCAUAUUUGCAUUUUAUGUUCGGUAUUUAAAAACUCAAUAGAAACUGAUUAUGUAUCUGUGCGUAUUAACUCAUCACUUCAGUUUAUGGGUUAAUGUGAUUUAAUCAAUGUUUUUACUUUGACCAAACCCUGGGCACAACCAGCCAAGGUUGCAGUCAGUCUUAGUCAUCUGACAGCUAUAAACAAUAAGAAGCCACCAUCCACGUCUUGUUUGCUGUGGUCUUGAUUUCGUUGCUUGUCAUUUGAAGGGUCCUGCUUUUCCCCUCGUCAGCACUGGUGCUCAUCUCCGAAGCGAAGCAGAGUUUUAUCCCCCAUGAUUCCCAACCUGUUCGAUAGUCACAGAACUACGUAUCGCUGUAACGAGUGCUCUGCUAGAAAGUGUUAUUUGUUUUAGUUCUCUUGUGUUCAUGUCAGUUCACGUACACCUAACAUGAGGUAUAUUUUCAGCAGUAUUCACCAACAGGAAGGACUUUGCAACCAAUACCUCUAUGGUGCAACACAUAUAUCGGACAGCUUAUUUAGAAAAGAGACCUGUGUAUUUGAGUUGAUGAGUCAUUUAUUUAUCUCUUGGGUAUCAAUGAUCCAAACCAAUAAAAUAUGAAAAUAUAGAGAUUAGAAAAUGUUUGUCAGUCGUGUGUCUUCGAUGGGAUGUGCGUGACCUAUACUUUGCAUGAACUGUUUGUAAUAAAAUGAAGCCAACAACACGUCGGUUUUGCCAAAUGAACUCUGGUGUGUUCUGAGGAAGCCGGUCAGAGCAUUUUCCAUACUGGUUUUUGAGGAAAUGGAAACACAAACACAGGCUGACCUAUACUGGCAAAAUAAACCUGGUUCUUUGACCCUUUGUGAUACAAAUCAAAUCUUUUAUGGCUGUUAAUGAGAAAUUGCAUAAAAUGUGUUAUUUCCCUUGUGUAUGUACAACCAUGACAAAAUCACAUCA